AUACGUAGGUGACAAGCGUUAUCCGGAUUUACUGGGCGUAAAGGGCGUGUAGGCGGUCUUGCAAGUCAGAAGUGAAAUUCCUGAGCUCAACUCGGGCGCUGCUUCUGAAACUGCAGGACUUGAGUGCUGGAGGGGAUAGCGGAAUUCCUAGUGGAGCGGUAAAAUGCGUAGAGAUCAGGAGGAACACCGGUGGCGAAGGCGACUUUCUGGCUGACAACUGACGCUGAGGCGCGAAAGCGUGGGGAGCGAACAGGAUUAGAUACCCUGGUAGUCCACGCUGUAAACGAUGAUUACUAGGUGUAGGGGGUAUCGACUCCCUCUGUGCCGCAGUUAACACAUCAAGUAUUCCACCUGGGGAGUACGGCCGCAAGGCUGAAACUCAAAGGAAUUGACGGGG
rnacentral:rRNA from 1 species